ensembl:snRNA U6 U6 spliceosomal RNA
GUGCUGGACUGGGUAGCAAAUAUACUAAAUUUGGAAUAUUAUGGAGAAAAUUCGCAUGGCCCCUGUAUAAGAAUAACAUGCAAAUUUAUGAUGUGUCUCAUAUAUUU